AUUGAACGCUGGCGGCAGGCCUAACACAUGCAAGUCGAGCGGAUGAGGGGAGCUUGCUCCUGGAUUCAGCGGCGGACGGGGGAGUAAUGCCUAGGAAUCUGCCUGGUAGUGGGGGAUAACGUCCGGAAACGGGCGCUAAUACCGCCUACGUCCUGCGGGAGAAAGUGGGGGGUCUUCGGACCUCACGCUAUCAGAUGAGCCUAGGUCGGAUUAGCUAGUUGGUGGGGUAAAGGCCUUCCAAGGCGACGAUCCGUAACUGGUCUGAGAGGAUGAUCAGUCACAUGGGAAGUGAGACACGGUCAAGAGUACUACGGGAGGCAGCAGUGGGGAAUAGUGGACAACGGGGGAAAGUCUGAUCCAGUCAUGGGGAGUGUGUGAAGAAGGCGUCCGGAGUGUAAAGAACGCUAAGGGGGGAGGAAGGGCAGUAAGUUAAUACCUUGCUGGUGUGACGUUAAUAACAGAAGAAGCACCGGCUAACUUCGUG
rnacentral:rRNA from 1 species